CGGGACGGGGUGGAGUAAUGUCUGGGAAACGUGCCUGAUGGAGGGGGGUAACUACUGGAAACGGGGGCUAAUACCGCAUAACGUCGCAAGACCAAAGAGGGGGGACUUCGGGGCCCUUGCCAUCGGAUGUGCCCAGAUGGGAUUAGCUAGUAGGUGGGGUAACGGCUCACCUAGGCGACGAUCCCUAGCUGGUCUGAGAGGAUGACCAGCCACACUGGAACUGAGACACGGUCCAG
rnacentral:rRNA from 1 species